UACGUAGGGGGCAAGCGUUGUUCGGAUUUACUGGGUGUAAAGGGCGUGUAGGCGGAGUGAUUUGUCGGAAGUGAAAUCGUGCGGCUUAACCGUAGCAAUGGCUUCCGAAACGGUCACCCUUGAGUGCGAGAGGGGCAGAUGGAAUUCCAGGUGUAGCGGUGGAAUGCGUAGAUAUCUGGAAGGACACCGGUGGCGAAGGCGAUCUGCUGGCUCGUAACUGACGCUGAGGCGCGAAAGUGUGGGGAGCAAA
rnacentral:rRNA from 1 species